UACGGGGGGGGCAAGCGUUGUUCGGAAUUACUGGGCGUAAAGGGCUCGUAGGCGGCCAACUAAGUCGGACGUGAGAUCCCUCGGCUUAACCGGGGAACUGCGUCCGAUACUGGAUGGCUUGAGUUCGGGAGAGGGAUGCGGAAUUCCAGGUGUAGCGGUGAAAUGCGUAGAUAUCUGGAGGAACACCGGUGGCGAAGGCGGCAUCCUGGACCGACACUGACGCUGAGGAGCGAAAGCCAGGGGAGCAAACGGG
rnacentral:rRNA from 1 species